UUGCAUCCAUAUAGGUGACUGGAUCCUCAUUGUUCUCAUCGAGCUUAAUAGGAUCGCCAUCUCGGAUCAAGAAACCUAGGAUCCGACUGAUGCGGUACUCUACCGAAUCACCUUAAGAAUGUUUGUAUAUUGGGCUUCAGAUUUAAUCUUAUCAAAUCUGGCUCAGAUUCAGUUACUGACGUCAGUUCUUCUACCUGUCGAACUUCAUCAAGCUCAACUUUAGAGGCACUUGUUCCUUCAC
rnacentral:lncRNA from 1 species